GUUUUGGAAAUGGUUUCAUAAGAGACAGAGGAGCAUGCAAGUACAGAUCUCCCCAGAGGAACUUUCUCAUCAAUCCCCUUGGACAGUGAGAGAUCAGCAGUGUGCUAUAUUUCUCCCUGUUGCAAUGAAAGGAAAAAGGUUCUGCAUCCAGUGUCCCAAAGUUUAGAUGUUAUGGGUGCAGAUGUCUGUCUUGCCUGGUCAUCCGUGCUCUGGUGGUCUCACAGAAUCCUGAGCCCCACCCAGCGGGGUCUCAUCAUGGACGCACAGACUUUCCACUGAUUUCUGAUACCAAACCCUCUUACAGAAAAGCUUGAGGGAAGAACAAUACUUCUAUAACCUCUAUAAAAAAUAAGUGCUUUUAAAAUACAGAUGACUAUUCCAAAGGACUAAACAACUCCUACUAGGAAGAAGAAACAGAUCGAUUAGAUUUGGGACUGUGAAAAUGUAGAACACUUUGCCUCACGAAGCUCCUCUGAAUGAGUGGACACAAGCUUCUAUUGUUGUUCAUUUUUAAAUUUUUUUUUUAUUUUAACAUAUCUUUUUUUUCUUCAUAUCUAAAUAGUUGUUUCCAACU